CCAGGGCUGAAGCUGAAGACUGAACCCCCCUGCUCAGGGCUGAAGCCCUUGGGCUUUGGCCAGGCUUCGGCUUCAGCCCAGGGAGAUGGGCUCAACCUUUGGCCCUGAGCUCCAGCAAGUUUAAUGCUAGUCGUGGUGACCUCAUUAAAAUGAGUCACGACCUGCUUUGGGAUUCCCACCAACAGUUUGAGAACCGCUGGGCUAAGGUAGGGGAAAAGUUUCCAUUUAGUUAAUCUUGUAUGUUAAUUGGUUUGCUCAUUCCCAGUUCCUUGUGCCAUCCCUGCCUUGUCUUUCUUUCAUCUGUAGUUUCCUUGUUCAUAUUUUUCACUGGCAGUGUCUUCUUGGAAUUCCAACCCAUACAAGGAUGAUUUCUGACCUGCUGUGGGAGUAUUAAAGCCUGUUAGAGACAGAACAUUUAUUUCAGCACAAUGUACACCGGGAGAGAUGUAUUUGCUUUCUUCUCAGCAUAGCUGUGACUGUUUCUUGUGGCAGUCUUCGCAUGAAAUGAUUCCAAAAUGAAGUUUACUCUGGAAGCUGACAGUUGUGUUCUCAGCUGCCUGGAGAGGGAUAUAAUUUGGACCUGUCUACUUCCUGCUGUUGUACUGCUUCCAACAACAUUGCCACUCAGGAAUACCAAUGACAGUUGGAAAUGGCUGACAGCUCCUUUCCAUGCUGUGAUGAAGGCUCAGCACCAAUCCAAGAGAGACAAUUCCAUCGAUGUCCCUUCCAGUAUGACAGGUCUUGGGUACCCUGCACCUUGGUAAAAGGGGUGGUGGCCAAAAUGGCUGAAUCAGUAUGCUGAGGAUGGCACACUUUGAACUACCUCUUGUAACUAGUGCAUUCCAUGGCCAUGUCUGCACAACUCAGCAGGUGUGCCC
rnacentral:lncRNA from 1 species